GACGAACGCUGGCGGCGUGCUUAACACAUGCAAGUCGAACGGAAAGGCCCUGCUUGCAGGGUACUCGAGUGGCGAACGGGUGAGUAACACGUGGGUGAUCUGCCCUGCACUUCGGGAUAAGCCUGGGAAACUGGGUCUAAUACCGGAUAGGAGCCAUUUUUAGUGUGAUGGUUGGAAAGUUUUUUCGGUGUAGGAUGAGCUCGCGGCCUAUCAGCUUGUUGGUGGGGUAAUGGCCUACCAAGGCGGCGACGGGUAGCCGGCCUGAGAGGGUGGACGGCCACAUUGGGACUGAGAUACGGCCCAGACUCCUACGGGAGGCAGCAGUGGGGAAGAUUGCACGAUGGGCGCAAGCCUGAUGCAGCGACGCCGCGUGGGGGAUGACGGCCUUCGGGUUGUAAACUCCUUUCGCUAGGGACGAAGCUUUUUGUGACGGUACCUAGAUAAGAAGCACCGGCUAACUACGUG
rnacentral:rRNA from 1 species